rnacentral:misc_RNA from 1 species
AUUCCGCAGAUGGUGUAGCUCAAAACGGUGACAAGUUGGAUUUUAGAGGGUUGCCAGUCACAAGCUCAGAAAAUCAUCCCAAUGUCACGUUAGAUGGAAAAUCUCAAGUUCAUGAUAUUGUUUUCUCCGACUCUAAUGUUAAGCCUACUUUUUCACAAUUUAUAUCUAGAGAUACAAGUGACACCAAUUCGCCAGCGUCAUCAAUUGGAUUAGCAGGUUGCGCCAGGGAUACUCCUGAGAAAGUAAAAUUAGAAUCACCAGCUUCUGUGACUCCAUCCCUCUUGCAAGUCGAACCAGAAUUCCCACUCAGAUUGUUG